rnacentral:lncRNA from 1 species
ACACAACCAACGUGCACGUCUUGGUCCCAGGCUAAGUGCACACUGUGCUGGUGCGCCGCUGCCAGCUCCGAGCGCCCCACAGCUCCGAGUGAGUGGCAGCUUUGAGUCGCCAGGACAAAGAUGCCUCACCGCAGCCUGCGCGCGACUGUCGUCCUCCUGUUGGUGAUCCUUAAGAAGCAGCCUUCCAGCUCAGCCCCACUCAACGGUAAAGUUUCUGCUUACUUAAAAAAAAAAAAAAAAAAAAAAAAAAAAAAAAAAAGAGUCCUGUGCACUGAGCCAUGCCUGGGCAGAGAGAGGAUUUCUGCCAGGCUCUUGCAAGAUAAAGUAAAAUCACUACUGAGCGAGUAAGGAAGUUGCUGUGUGCCUAGCACAUUUUCAAGAAAGGAUGCUAGCUUUGGGAUCGUUUGGGAUGCACUGUUAGCUGAGGUUAGUUGGAGGCACUUUUUUUUAACGGUGCUUGGUGCACAGUUGUAGUUACUCAUUUGCCUCUUUUCUGAGCACACUACCUCUGGAGAUGGGGCUUGGAAACUUGCUAGCCAGGAUCCCGGAACCACGUGCAGAGCGCUGAGAAAGGACUGUCUUCCUGUGUGCUGUGAUCCGCAAGAAGGGGUGUCUGGCUGAUCGUCAGAACCCUCAGAGAGGCAGUUAACCAGUAGGUUUCACACUCCGUGUCCAGGGGAUAAUGUAGCCCACCGUUAGUCAUUGUCUUUCCCCUCGAGAUCUCUGCUACACUGAACCUACAUGUGUGCGCACAUGCCUUAUUUCUAACUGUAAUAAGGGGCUGAAACCCGAAGGGCAAGUAUGCUGAACAGGGUGUCAGGUUGAGGUGGGAAGAGGAGCCUGAAUUGUGGGCUCAUGUCCAAAGCCUGGAUAAUUAACUCCUUUGGAAUAAGAAAAGGAAAAGCAAGCUUUAGCCUGCCUCUCCCUCAGGCUACUACUAACCUUAGGGAGAAGGUGGGGACUGGGUCCUGCUUGUUUGUGUCAAUGGGUCCCCACACUGUGGUGAUACUUGUUCUUGGGUUGCAAUAGAAGGGACCAAGAGUGACCCCAGUGGCUGAACAAUGAUUCCCCUGGCCAGGCAGCGGGGAGAGAGCCCAGCUCCUGCCCAGCAGUAUCAGAGCUCUGCUCUCCUUCCCCCCUUGGAGGACCACACUCUGCCGGUGGGCAACAAGCCACUACCCCUUUACUGAACCUUCAUCGACUGGCUGGCAGGAUCUGCCUACUAUCACCUUUCCCACGCAGUCAGGAAGAAGCAGAAUGUGGGAGAAGUCCCACAAAAGUGGCGAUCAAUUUUGAAAACUGUUAACUUUGGGUUGCUACUAACUCUAAAGGAAUCUAUAGAGACUGAAGUUCACCAGAAGUCGUUUUAGCACCAAGCACCUCACACAAAGGAGAGAAGGACUCUAUUGAUCUUUUUUUUUUUUGAAAGUUUGGGGCUCUCCAUUCUCCUCUUUGUUGCCCCCCCUUCAUGUCCUCCUUAUUCUCUAAACUGCAUUAGAGGGAGUUUGCAGUAAAGCUCCACUUUCCCCUCACACUGAGCAGUCUUAGCUACCGCUAAGUUCUAAGCUUUUACACUGCUAUUUAUUGGGCAGGUUUCUUGACUGCCUCAGGAGAUGAAGUCAAACACUCACUGAGGUGGACUGGAGACCAGUUAAUACAAGGUUGGGGCUGGAGGGUUAGCUGAGUAAGGGGGUCAAAGUGUGCUUUCCUGAUACUUGGGGGUUGAAAUUUGUUAAAGCUGACGCUAAGAAGAGCCUAAGAAGAGCCCUCAGUCCAGGGGUGAGAGGAGCACAAGGUGAAGUUGAAGGUUUUCUGAAGACAGCAUGGUGUUCUUUGUUGCUAUGGCUGAGGGCUGGUUCAGUGAACUCCGUUGAGCCUGCUCUGCCUGAAGUGAAGGUGGAGAGCCAGGCAAGACCACACUGCCUGGCUGCAUUGUCAUCAGCUCCUGGAAGCUGCUAGCACCCAAGGCAGGGAGCAGGCAGAGCAGGACCCCUGGCCUGACUUUACCAAAUGCCCUUUCCUCAGGGCAUCUCCCUGCCCAGUGCCAACCGGGUUUGCAGGUUCCAACAGGCACUGCUGAGCUGCCCAAAUUCAACUUUUUUUUUUUUUUUUUGGAAAGGUAAUGGUUCUAUUCUAGGAAGAGCUUGACUCCCACCCCCUUAGGAAGCUCCUGAAAUUUAUGGGAACAUGGUACAUGAGUGAUAGCCAUGCUGAGACUCGUAGUAGGCACAUGGUCUAUCUAUGACAGGUCACUUUACAUCACCUGUGAAAACUACACUCUUCUCUUCCAAGGUAGGAUGUUGGUAAAUAGUGCCUGAGUCUACAAAACCCAAAUGGGGACAAUAUUAAUAUAUUUUCAAAGUUAUGGAGAAAAUACUUAAAGAGUCAUUUAAAAAACCCCAAAGCAUCCUGGGAAGUAAGUAAAUGGUAAGUGACUGGGGUGGGGGUGAUAUUUGUUAAGAAGCUUUGCAGAACCAUCUGGCUCUAAACUUGUUCAGUGUCUCAUAUGAUCAAAACUAUCAAUAUGAAAAUUAAAAACAGAAUUAACACAGAGGCAAAGAAAUGGAAGAAGGCAGUAAUAGCAACAAUGGAGAAGAAAAAGGUGAUACCAACAUUAAAAAGAAAGAAGUGAAAAGCAACGUUUUUAGAAACCAGCAUUGGCUUGAGUAGGACUUUCCUGCUCAUGGCCAGUGGCCAGAUCCUUGACACUACAGUUUAUUGAGAAACAAAGGGGAGCCAGGUCCUUAUUCUUCCAGCUAUUUCUCCCAGCCAGAGGCUCUCGGAAGAUGACAGACAAAGGGUGCUCAGGAGUUUCCCAGUGUACAGGGAGACACAUCUCAGCUUGGGGGCUCAGUGUUCUUCCUGAGGGAGGGAGAAGGUGGGCAGCCUGGGAGAUAAGAGCAGAGUCCUGCAACAACUGCUUAAAAAUAUCACUCGAUGUGGGAGCGAGGGACCUGUGUGCUGUGACGGGUGUGGAGUGGGAGGUGGUGGGUGGCUUGGGUUAUAUUCCUGGCAGGAUGUCUCCUCCACAUUCCUGCCAGGGCUGGCAUUGAAACUCAGAUGAGAAUGGCAGCUCCCUUGGGGGAAAACAUCUUCCAUUUCUGCUCUCUGGGUACUGAUGUGAAAAGUUCUCCAGGAUACAGUGUUGAAUGAAAAAAAGCAAGAUGCUAAAUAGUGUUUCCAGCAGGGGAGACAAUAGAAUGCACGAGUGUCUGGUCCAUUGUGAGGGGCCCACUAUCACUCAUACACAAGGUGUCUACUGG